CAGGCAGCUAAAGCAAGUCUG
rnacentral:miRNA from 17 species